CAGGGUUUAUUAAAUAUUUAACAUAUUUAUGUUAUUCUCGAAUUUAAAAGAGUUAAUGAAUUAUAAAAGUUAAUGUAAUAAAAUUAUUUUGUAUAAUUUGUUAGUAAUGAAAAGUUAUUCGUUUUUAAAUAUAUCUAGUUUUUUAAGAAAUAAAUUUAAUUUAUAAUUUUAAAUUGUAUUAAUUUAUUUAUUUAAUUUAAUAUAUUUAAAAUUAAAUAUUUUAUGGGAUAAGCUAUAAAAUAAAAUUUUAUAAGGUCAUUAAUAUUUAUAUAAAUAUAUGUUUAGAAUUAGCAAUUAUUUAUAAUUUUGUUAUAAAUUAUUUAUUAUAAUAUAUUAUUUAUUGGCCUUUAAUUAUUUAUUAAAAUUAUUAUUUUAAUUAAAUAUGUAAUGAAAUUAUGAUAAAAUUAGUAUAUUUUUAUGUUUUUAAAUAGAUAAGUAUGAAAGGUUUAUGUAAAGAAUUCGGCAAAUUUAAUGUUCGCCUGUUUAACAAAAACAUGUCUUUUUGAUUAUAUAAAAAGUCUGACCUGCCCAUUGAUAAAUAAUUUAACGGCCGCAGUAUAUUAACUGUGCAAAGGUAGCAUAAUCAUUAGUCUUUUAAUUGAAGGCUGGAAUGAAUGGUUGGACGAAAUAUUAACUGUUUCAUAUAAAUUUAAUAUAGAAUUUAAUUUUUUAGUCAAAAAGCUAAAAUUUUUUUAAAAGACGAGAAGACCCUAUAAAUCUUUAUAUAAUUUAAAUUAUUAAUUUUUUAAAUAAAUUUUAUUAUUAAUUUAAUUUAUAUUUUAUUGGGGUGAUAGUAAAAUUUAAUAAACUUUUAUUAAUAUAUUUACAUUAAUUUAUGAAUUAUUGAUCCAAUUUUAUUGAUUAAAAAUUUAAGUUACUUUAGGGAUAACAGCGUAAUAUUUUUGGAGAGUUCUUAUUGAUAAAAAUGAUUGCGACCUCGAUGUUGGAUUAAGGAAUAAUUUUAGGUGUAGAAGUUUAAAUUUUAAGUCUGUUCGACUUUUAAAUCCUUACAUGAUCUGAGUUCAAACCGGUGUGAGCCAGGUUGGUUUCUAUCUUUAAUUUAUUAAAAUAUUUUAGUACGAAAGGACCAAAUAUUUGAAUUAUAAAUUUUAUAUAAUGAAUAUUAUUAAAUUAAAA
rnacentral:rRNA from 1 species